rfam:Triticum aestivum genome assembly, contig: Triticum_aestivum_CS42_TGACv1_scaffold_160045_2DL
UCCCGGUUCUUGGCACGAACCGGGACCAAUGGGCCUCGCUCCUGGCCCACAACCAUUGGUCCCGGUUCGUGGCAGGAACCGGGACAGAAGGAAGGCCUUUAGUCCCGGUUCCAUCCACGAACCGGGACAAAU